rnacentral:rRNA from 1 species
UGCAUCGAUGAAGAACGCAGCGAAAUGCGAUACGUAGUGUGAAUUGCAGAAUUCCGUGAACCAUCGAAUCUUUGAACGCAAAUUGGGCCCGAGGCAUCGGCCAAGGGCAUGUCUGCCUCAGCGUCGGUGUACCCCCUCGCCACUCUUUUGCCCUUUGAUUGGGUAAAGAGUGCGCGGACCUGGCGCUCUCGGUUAAGAAGUGGUCUAACAGCCGCUCCGCCGCGUGGGCUGAAGCAUAGAGGCUUGAGCAUGGACCCCGUUUGCCGGGCCAUGGCUAGGUAGGUAGGCUUGUUCUACGCGCCGCGCCGUGGCCCGAGGGGCCUUUGCUGGGAGCCCGGCGGUAUCCGGAGCGUCGGUGGGGCGGCGGGCGCGGGGGCCUCCCCCCGCGGUCUCUCUCACCCCUCUCGCCCCC